UCAGCUUUGGCGCAGUGGUAGCACAUCAGUCUCGAAAGCUGAAGAUCCCUCAAAACCUGAGGUUUCUACCCUCAAACUAAA
rnacentral:tRNA from 1 species